UAGGGAAUCUUCGGCAAUGGGGGCAACCCUGACCGAGCAACGCCGCGUGAGUGAAGAAGGUUUUCGGAUCGUAAAGCUCUGUUGUAAGAGAAGAACGUGUGUGAGAGUGGAAAGUUCACACAGUGACGGUAACUUACCAGAAAGGGACGGCUAACUACGUGCCAGCAGCCGCGGUAAUACGUAGGUCCCGAGCGUUGUCCGGAUUUAUUGGGCGUAAAGCGAGCGCAGGCGGUUUAAUAAGUCUGAAGUUAAAGGCAGUGGCUUAACCAUUGUUCGCUUUGGAAACUGUUAAACUUGAGUGCAGAAGGGGAGAGUGGAAUUCCAUGUGUAGCGGUGGAAUGCGUAGAUAUAUGGAGGAACACCGGUGGCGAAGGCGGCUCUCUGGUCUGUAACUGACGCUGAGGCUCGAAAGCGUGGGGAGCAAACAGG
rnacentral:rRNA from 1 species